rnacentral:rRNA from 1 species
UACGGGGGGGGCAAGCGUUGUUCGGAAUUACUGGGCGUAAAGGGCUCGUAGGCGGCCAACUAAGUCAGACGUGAAAUCCCUCGGCUUAACCGGGGAACUGCGUCUGAUACUGGAUGGCUUGAAUCGGGAGAGGGAUGCAGAAUUCCAGGUGUAGCGGUGAAAUGCGUAGAUAUCUGGAGGAAUACCGGUGGCGAAGGCGGCAUCCUGGACCGACAUUGACGCUGAUGAGCGAAAGCUAGGGGAGCAAACGGG